rnacentral:sRNA from 23 species
AAGUGAGUAAGUCCCCCAGAAAGGAUGAUGUCCACGUAUGUGGAGUGGGACGAGUACGGUGGGGUUCACUU